GGUUGAAAUUGUGUUACAAACCACUGCUGUGACAAUGUGCCUUCGGCAGACUUCAGCCUUGCCCCUCUAUAUUGAGUAUGGCCUGAGCGACAACAUCAAGGGGAUGCUUUUGGGUGGUGAGAUGAUGGAUGAAAAACCUUGGUCAAGGUAUGUGUGUGUGGUGGCGCAAAAUGGAGAGGGGAGAGAAAGGGGAGAGAGCUCUUGUCUUACCUUAGGUUUUUCACUUGGAAUG